UACGGAGGGGGCAAACGUUGUUCGGAAUUACUGGGCGUAAAGGGUGCGUAGGCGGUUCGGCAAGUCUAGCGUGAAAUCUCUCAGCUUACCUGAGAAACUGCGCUGGAAACUGCCGAGCUCGAGAAUGGGAGAGGCAGAUGGAAUUCCUGGUGUAGCGGUGGAAUGCGUAGAUAUCAGGAAGAACACUCGUGGCGAAGGCGGUCUGCUGGCCCAUUUCUGACGCUGAGGCACGAAAGCCAGGGGAGCGAAC
rnacentral:rRNA from 1 species